rnacentral:lncRNA from 1 species
UUGCCUUGACCACCUAAAACUAACCGUCCAUUCAAGACAGGAAACGACACCGGUCCACUCCCCGCCAACGGAUUCUGAUAAACAUUAUUAUUAUCACCAUAAUUAUUAUAUCUCUGCGUUAUCCCUGGCAUUUUUCCCUAAUUUAAUUUCUCACACACAUCUCAACAAUUCCCCUCCAAUCUCCGACAUCCGAUUCACCCAAAAAAGAUUAAACAAUGCCCUGAAUUAAGCAUAAAUUACCUCGAUUAUCAGUAAUUCAAAUAUGAAAUCCAAAUCAAUUCAUAUUAAUAAAAUCGAUAGAAAUUAUAGGUAUAUAUGUAUAUAUAACGAAUCUUUAUAUCUAUACAUAUGAAAUCUCAAAUCCGCGGGUGAAUUUGAUUGGGAAAAAUCAGGAAUACAGGGGUUGGGGAAAAUAAAAUUUGUGACCCAGUUAAAAGAUGGGGGUUUGGGAGAUGUGCACGGUAUUGUGUGUAGAAUUGGAGUCGAAAGAAAUAGAAAUGUAGAGAGGGAGAAGAGGAGUUUCUUGGUAAAACGGAAAAAGGAAAAUUUUUUAGAUUGUGUUUGGG